ensembl:lncRNA
GUGGUAAUGCCUAGGAGCCACUGAGGGUAUCAUGUUUUAGCGUAAUUUUUGAGAAGGCUCUCUGUCAGGGGGAAAAGGAUAUAAUCAGAACUUUUCAGUUUGUGGGAUUGAAAAGCAAAAUACUCCUAAGACCUUUAAGGAAAGAAAUUUAAAGAAAGGACAGUGAUUUGGGGUCUUCAGUCUUUUAACAUGGUGAAGAAUGGAAGUUGCCCUGUGUGACCUUGGAAAACAAGUGUGUGGCAACCUCUGUGGGGUUUAUCUCUGGGUGAGUGAGCUCAUCCCUCCUGACCCAAGGCAGCCUGACCAAGGGUGUGUGUCACCAGAGUCUGACAGUCUAUUGGACUAGCUUUCAACAGUAACACCAGGUAGCAGAAAGAAGAAAUGGCAAAACUAGCUCUCUUUCUGUUCCAUUGUGGAAGACAGAAAGAACCUCUUUUCUACUAGGAAAAGCCAGGGAUUUUGGAGAAUUCAGGGCAAAGGAGGAGAAGAAGGAAGAUGCUGAACUUCCUACUAAAAAUACAGGAAGGGUUGAGGGGGUGAAGAGAAGAGGAAAGGGUGUGCCGAGCAAGUUGAACAUCAUGAACGGGAACGUGAAGUUGUGGAAAUGCAGGGCAGGGUAAACUCUUGGCAUCUGAGGAUUUUGCAGGAGAAUUAAGACCCCAUGGCAUGUAAUAUUUGCUGAGGGAUCAUUUUGAAUUGUGAGUGCUUCAAGGCUGGUGUGCGAGUGUGAGUCAUAAAGCAGGUAAGAAAGUCUAGACGAACAGGCAAAACCUACACAUCUCAGAGCAAAAGUUCUGCUCUCUGUUACACCUCCUUUCACUUAAUUGUUAAAACAACACUGCAAUGCUUGUAUUAUUAUAUCCAUUUUAGCCACGAGGUCACUGAUGAAAAUAUAUGCUGCUAUUUGGGGAUUGCAAACAUCUUUGGACAUAUGUGUCGUAAUUUCAAGAUCUACUAUACUUAUUUUGUCCUUAUGCUAGAUUACAUGCUUCUUGUAGUCAAGGGCUGUAUUUGAUGGCCCUAUUCUUUUGCCACCCUCAUUAUUUGGGGCAAUUUGUUGAACCCUAUAGAUUUUCAGUCAAGGUCUGAGAAAUGAAUGAAUGGCUUACCAUUACCAUUUGUAAGUUCAGAGAGAAGAGGUUAUAUAGGGUACAUUCAUUGAAUAACUAAACUGGAGAGGAAUAUCUAGGAGGAAAGUAAUACAUGGUGAAAAAAAUUAGUAGAGUCAGUUCCUGUGGCCUAGUGGUUAAGUUCGUCAUGCUCUGCUUCAGCAGCCCAAGUUUGGUUCCUGGGUGCGGACCUAUACCACUUCACCAGUGGCCAUGCUAUGGUGGCGACCCACAUGCAAAAUAGAGGAAGACUGGCACAAAUCUUAGCUCAGCAUGAAUCUUCCUCAAGCAGAAAAAAGAAAAAAGAGGAAGAAUAGCAAUGGAUGUUAGCUCAGGGCAAAUAUUCCUCAGGGAAAAAAAAAAAAAUUAGUAAAGCCAGAGCAAAUGCAAAAUGGGCCUCAGAUAACACAGUUGUGAAUUUAAAUCUAGUGAAUACUUUCAAGAUCAAUUGGCAUUUUAAAGGUGAAGUAUAAUAAGAGUACAUUGGUAGUUGUAUUUUGCCUCACUAAAUUGGAAAGAUAGUUGGAGAAAGACAUUUAUUGAUGAAAAGAUUGCCAACACCAGACCCAGUGCAAGUUUCCCAGAAUCAGAGUGAAGGAUAUAAAUAAAGAUUUAAUGGAAAUGGCAAACUAAAAAGAGGGGGGAGGCUGGCUAAAAAAUGAUUGCUGAAUUGCAAUGUGUAUUAGUUUUCUAAGGCUUCCUUAACAAAGUACCACAGACUACGUGACUUAACCAACAGAAAUUUAUUGCCUCACAGUUCUGGAGGUGGCAGAGUUGGUUCCUUCUAAGGGCUGUGAAGGAAAGAUCUGUUUCAGGAGUCUCUCCUUGGCUUGUAGAUGACCAUGUUCUCCCCAUAUAUCUCUAUAUCAUCUUUCCUCUAUCUGUGUCUCUGUGUCCAAAUUUCUCCUUUUUAUGAGGACACCAGUCUUAUUUGGUUAGGUCCCACCCUAAUGACUUUAUUUUAACUUGAUUACCCCUGAAAAGACCCAGUCUCCACAUAAGGUCACAUUCUUAGGUAUUGUGAAUUAGAACUUCAAUAUAUGAAUUUGGAGAGACAUAAUUCAACCCAUAACACAUUAUUAAUGAUAACCUUGGAUAAGAAUAACAGGAAUUGAAAGAUCACUUCAUUUAACAAUUAUUUAUUGAAUUCUACCUGUAUAUCACACAUGGUGCUAGGCAUUGAAGAUAGACUAAGUAAGGAUAUGUCUUUAAGGGUCUUACAGUCUCUUGGGUGAGACAAAUAAAUAACUAAUUAUAACACAGUGUGUUCAGAUUUCUAAUAAUAAUAAGUAUAAUUUACAAAGUAUUGUCUAAGACAAGAAAAGAAAGGGAAGUGAAAAGAAUGAGGAAGGGCAUCAGUGAGGAGAGCACUUUGAAGUUAAGUCUUGGAUGAUGUGAAGAAGCUUGAAAGAAAAUAGCAAAUUCUAGCAGAGGGAAUAAUAAGGGUUAUUUUGAGUAAUGUCAAGUGGUUUAGUGUGAAGUAUAUGUUGGAAAUAAAAGAUGAAAACCUUAACAGCUAGGUAGGGAGUCUACCAAGAAGGUCAUGCAAAUGAGGACCGUUGAGUCGUUUUAAGUAGAGAAAUGACAUAUAAGGAUCACCCUGAAGGCUGUUUCCAGAAUAGUCUGGAAAGGAAUAAAGCAGGAGCCAAGGAGAUCCAGGUAAGAAAACAUGGCACUAGUCAGAUGAGAGACCAUGGAGGGCUUAAUGAAGACUGUAGCAGAUGGAAAGCAAGGUAUGAAAGUGGGAGAAGAUCAUAUGGUGGAGUUGACAAAAUGUAGUGAGCAAAGUGUGGAAUUAGGUGGUUGUUUAGGAUGACUCCUAGAUUUCUGAAUUGAGUGACUAGGGAGAUAAGAUGAUAUUAAAUAAGAUAGAAGAUACAAGAACCAAGAUUUAUGGAUAAAGAUAAUUAAUCCAGUUUUGAACAUGUCAGAUUUGAGAUAAUUGUGAGGCAUCUAAACAAGGAUGUUUAGUAGAGAGUAAGAAAUCCAUAUAAGUAGAUCAGGGGAGAGAUAUGGAGUAGAGAUUAGCAUUUGGCAGUCAUCAGCAUAUGUAUUUACUCACUUAUACAGCAAACAUGUGUUGAGUAUUUACUAGACACCAAGCACUGUCCUGUUGGUCAAUGUGAAAGCUAGGAGGCUGAUUGAGGUAUCCUACUGAAAACAUGAAGAAAAUAUGACCCAAGCUCUGGGAAACAUCAAUAUACAAAGAGUAACAGAGAAAGAGAAACCAAUAAAAGGGAUUGAGAAUGGGUAGUCAAAAAGUUAAGAAUUCAAGAAAUUAGAGAAUAUCAAGAAGGAGGAGAUGUUUAAUAGUAUCAAAUUCCCUUGCAAGACAAUUUUGGUAAGGACUUGAAUCAGUGUAUGUGUGUGUUUGAGAGAGACAUAGAGAGAGAGAGAGAGAGAGAGAGACACGGAGACACAGAGAGAGAAAGAGAGAGAUUGAGAGAUUUAGCUGUAGAAGAGGGCCUCCCAAGAUAUACCUUCCAUACUCUGAUAUUCUGACUUCUGACAAUACCUUCCAUUGAAAAAACUCAACUGGUUGCCAGAGGUAAAAAGAGUGUUGAUGUAGUUCAUAUAAGUCAGCUUCCAGGAGAAACAAGCAGAAUGGAAAAGAGUGGUGAGUGGAUCUGGCGGGGUAAAUGGAGAAUAUUCUGCUCAGGUUUUAAAAGAGAUUAUUAUACUUGGCAGUUUGGUGAUCAAGGGUAUUGUGAGAGGAGCAUCUUGGACUGAAGUAGGAGCCAGCUUGCAGUAGACUGAGGGAUAAGUGAGAGGUAUGAAAUAUAGAUACAUUUGUAGUCUUUCAAAAUGCUUAACUGAGAAGGGAAGGAAAAAAUGUCUUAGCUACAGGAAGACGCAGUAUUGCAAGAGUUAAGAUUGGAGAGAUUUCAUGAUAUAUUUUAGGCUGAGUGAAAAUAAUGAGUGAGGAGAUACCUAUCUGAUGAAGCAAAGUCUAAGGGGACUUUAGGGGAUUGGGGCCCAGAACAGGAGGAAUUACUUUUGACCUCCUCCUGGCCAAGUUUUAUAUUUAUGAGAUGGAUAAUUAUGAGAAUAUGAUGGAAAAGGGGACAAUGGGAAGCUUGGCCAGAAUGAUGGCCCCAUGGAUGGCUAUGGCUACCUCCUUGGGGUACUUAACUCCCAGACUGACUUGGCCAUUGUAAUCUCCAAUGGUGACAAAUGCCUUGAACCCGCUCCACUGGCCAGCACAGGUCUGCUUUUGCACAAACAUAAUUUCAAAACCUCAUCCUUGAGGGACAUCCCCAGGAAAAAGUCAAUGAUCUUGAACUCCUCGAUGGUUAGAGAGAUGCAACUACUCUUUCUGUUUUAGAUGUUGCUCAGUUAUCUGUUUUUCUCUAUGCUUCUGUUCUCUCUCUCUCUGCCUCUCUCAAAAUUUACCUUUGUUUACUUAUCUUAUUCAUGGUCCAAAAUGGCUGUUCAAAUGCUUGAGUCCACCUGACCUUCCAGCUUCACAACUCACCAC